rnacentral:rRNA from 1 species
GACGAACGCUGGCGGCGUGCCUAACACAUGCAAGUCGCACGGGGUAGCAAUACCCAGUGGCGAACGGGUGCGUAACACGUGAGGAACAUACCUAUCGGCGGGGGAUAGCCGGCCCAACGGCCGGGUAAUACCGCGUACGCUCUCCGGGGGGCAUCUCCUGGGGAGGAAAGCAGCAAUGCACCGAUAGAGUGCCUCGCGGCCUAUCAGCUAGUUGGUGAGGUAAUGGCUCACCAAGGCGACGACGGGUAGCUGGUCUGAGAGGAUGAUCAGCCACAUUGGGACUGAGACACGGCCCAGACUCCUACGGGAGGCAGCAGUGGGGAAUCUUGCGCAAUGGGCGAAAGUCUGACGCAGCGACGCCGCGUGUGGGAUGAAGGCCUUCGGGUCGUAAACCACUGUCGCGAGGGACGAAUACAAUUGACGGUACCUCGAAAGGAAGCACCGGCUAACUCUGUGCCAGCAGCCGCGGUAAUACAGAGGGUGCGAGCGUUG